rnacentral:rRNA from 1 species
CCCGAAACCCGGUGAUCUAGCCAUGGGCAGGUUGAAGGUUGGGUAACACUAACUGGAGGACCGAACCGACUAAUGUUGAAAAAUUAGCGGAUGACCUGUGGCUGGGGGUGAAAGGCCAAUCAAACCGGGAGAUAGCUGGUUCUCCCCGAAAGCUAUUUAGGUAGCGCCUCGUGAACUCAUCUCCGGGGGUAGAGCACUGUUUCGGCUAGGGGGCCAUCCCGGCUUACCAACCCGAUGCAAACUGCGAAUACCGGAGAAUGUUAUCACGGGAGACACACGGCGGGUGCUAACGUCCGUCGUGAAGAGGGAAACAACCCAGACCGCCAGCUAAGGUCCCAAAGUCAUGGUUAAGUGGGAAACGAUGUGGGAAGGCCCAGACAGCCAGGAUGUUGGCUUAGAAGCAGCCAUCAUUUAAAGAAAGCGUAAUAGCUCACUGGUCGAGUCGGCCUGCGCGGAAGAUGUAACGGGGCUAAACCAUGCACCGAAGCUGCGGCAGCGACACUAUGUGUUGUUGGGUA